CAUCCAUCCAUCUAAACUUUCGCAUUUAUAACUUUAGCAAAGAUGGUAAUAUUUUUGUGUUUGUAUGUUUUGUAUGAAUGUAAAUUCCAUUGUCUGAUGGAGAGUGAAUGACUUAACGGAUUUUGAAGAGGGAGGUGUCAUUUCAUUUGACUUUUAUCCGGAGUGUCAUAUACAAUGGUACGAAAUAAAUAUAGUGGAGACGCGAAUAGAAAUUCUAAAUAAUUUACUGAAAAACCGUGUUUAUUUUGAUUAAGGUUAUGUUAUAUUAUUAUUUGUUUUAUUCUUUUGUUAAUGCCCCUUGAAUUACUGGCUGGUAAUUCAUUGGGUAUUAACUUUUUCUCUUACUAUUGCAGUUUUGUUUUACGAUUUCCAAAAAUGCAUAACCAUUUUAUUAUCUAUUCUGCGUAACAGUUUCAGUUGCAUUAUCGACUUUAUUUUCUGCAUGAUAAGGAUUAUGUUUGAAACUGUUGUUGGAAAGUUUUUCGAGUUAUAUUCAAUCGUAAAGUAGAAGUUAUUCAGCCGCUCUCUGAAAUCCCAGGCGAUGAAGUUAUUUUUAAGCUUCUAAAGUUUUAGUAUACGGUAGACCUAUGUACGGCGAACUGACUCAUAAUUUUCAUAUUACAUUAGAUUCACAUUAACUAGUAUUCUUAAGUUAUUCAUGUUAAUUAAGUUAUAUUGAAGUUGAAUUUGAUACAAGUGUGAUGUAUUUAAUUUUUUAUAAAGUAUGAUUUCAGAUUUUUAAUACAGGGUUGAAAGAAAAUUUUUUUAUAAAGACUUCAAAGACAUUAUGAGGCUUUCGAUGGACGGCGCCAUGAGAGAAAAAUGUUUAACAUAUCAGUGGAGUCGAUAAUAAUACGCUUCGUAGACAUCGCCACGUGCAAUUGGAAAUCUUGAAGAAAUACAUUAAGAUAACAGAGAAAACUUCUAAUUUUAACAUGACACUUUAACAAUCAUGUCCAUUUUCUUAGAGAUAUUGUGAGUUGUAAUAAUUUUUGUUUGAGUCAACCAGAAACGCAGCAUAAUACUUUGUUCUAAUAACAGUAAGAAAUAGGGCAAUGAACUUGUAGAGUCAAUUCUUGCAAGCGAUUUUCUCGCCUCUAAAUCGUAUUCAGAUUGCAAAAUGUAAAUAUAUUUUAUUUAUAGUAACAA